rnacentral:rRNA from 1 species
GAGUUUGAUCCUGGCUCAGGACGAACGCUGGCGGCGUGCCUAAUACAUGCAAGUCGAGCGGACCGAAAAGAAGCUUGCUUCGAUUCGGUUAGCGGCGGACGGGUGAGUAACACGUGGGCAACCUGCCCUGUAGACGGGGAUAACACCGAGAAAUCGGUGCUAAUACCGGAUAACACGAAAUGUCGCAUGACAUUUCGUUGAAAGGCGGCGCAAGCUGUCGCUACAGGAUGGGCCCGCGGCGCAUUAGCUAGUUGGUGAGGUAACGGCUCACCGAGGCGACGAUGCGUAGCCGACCUGAGAGGGUGAUCGGCCACACUGGGACUGAGACACGGCCCAGACUCCUACGGGAGGCAGCAGUAGGGAAUCUUCCGCAAUGGACGAAAGUCUGACGGAGCAACGCCGCGUGAGCGAAGAAGGUCUUCGGAUUGUAAAGCUCUGUUGUUAGGAAGAACAAGUACCGCAGUAACUGGCGGUACCUUGACGGUACCUAACGAGAAAGCCACGGCUAACUACGUGCCAGCAGCCGCGGUAAUACGUAGGUGGCAAGCGUUGUCCGGAAUUAUUGGGCGUAAAGCGCGCGCAGGCGGUCCUUUAAGUCUGAUGUGAAAGCCCACGGCUCAACCGUGGAGGGUCAUUGGAAACUGGGGGACUUGAGUGCAGAAGAGGAGAGCGGAAUUCCACGUGUAGCGGUGAAAUGCGUAGAGAUGUGGAGGAACACCAGUGGCGAAGGCGGCUCUCUGGUCUGUAACUGACGCUGAGGCGCGAAAGCGUGGGGAGCAAACAGGAUUAGACACCCUGGUAGUCCACGCCGUAAACGAUGAGUGCUAAGUGUUAGAGGGGUUACACCCUUUAGUGCUGUAGCUAACGCAUUAAGCAC